rnacentral:lncRNA from 7 species
AAACAUCAACCACCGUGGUUCUCAUACAGGGGACAUUGUUUUGUAACUGGAAAACAGAGUAACCAUCCCCUUUGAGAAUCCAUAGAGUAUAGGCAUGCUCAGGUGGAGCUCGGUGUUACACAAAAUCACCUACAGGGAAGGACACACAUUUUCUUUCUUUUCUUAAGGUCACCCUGAAGGAAAAAUUGUUUUUGUCCAACACAAGGGGCAUGGAAGAGCAAACAGCACAUCAGUAACCACUCUUCUGCCACAGUGGUGGUGAUGGACAGCGGGAAAGUGAGAUGAUUCCACAGCCUCUCCUAGAGAGAAGAGUGGAAGAAGAGUCUACUGCUUUUCAAAAACUGAUUUUCCUUCCCUUUCAACAUGCUCAGGAAACAUAGGAACCUAUGUAUACACUUGUAGGUUAAGCUAGGAACCUCAUGGAUGAAAUAGUGUUUUUAACAACAGGUAAAAUGACAGCGGAUACUUUCAUAGGCAUUGAUCCAUGGCGAACUUGCUUAAGCACCUUUAUUCUUUAGUUCCAGACAUUCUGGGAAGUCUCUGGGAGCACAUCACAGGCAGUGGGACAGUAGUAGUCAGUACAUGAACCAACACUUGGACUCUGCAAAGGAGGAUGCCAUGCAGCACAGCCCCUAAAGAUACCUCAGACUCCUUGCAAAUGAGAGAAGUUUAACUGCGUUUAACAGAUACAUUUCUACAUAAACUGGCUAAUUUGCUAUCCCACCGUAUUCUGUGCUCUGUUUUACCAAGGAAAAGGGAAAACUAAAGCCUUAAUUUUCUAUGUAAGAGCCUCUGCAGCAAAGAUAGAAGAGGAGAAGCAGAAAACACACAAUACAAAGAGGAUUCUAACACAAGAGAUCAUCUGGGGAAAUCCUCAUUUCAAUCACUGCAGGACGGAAGCUGUGCCAGAUCUCCUUCGGCCUUCAACGUGAGCAGGUUCAAGACCCUGCUCAUUAAAAACUAGUUGGAAAAAAAUCAGUAAGGAGAAACUUUACAACAAACAAACUCAAUCCUUGCAGUUGAUGUUGCUAAUCCUGAUCUGGGCUAGGGGACUGCCCCUUGGACUAGUCCAGGCAGAGAAUGGAGCCAUCUUCCUGACAAGUUCCCUGAAAUCUUGGCGGAUGAUUUGUGCACUUGCAAAUCAAACAGGUCACACCUCCCUACUCCCAGAUCUUUGUGUACCUACAAGUGAAACCAAGAACAGGUUUCCCUUGCAAAUAUUACUCUUACUCCUAACUUCUCUAACUGUAAUAGCAGGAGAAAGAAGAGGUUAACAGGUUAGAACAUAUCAGAAAUGACCUUUAAGAAGUCACCAUUAGAGCCCUGAUACCAUGCUGCUGAAGCCAGGAGGAGCCCAGUUCAGUGGGCUGAAGUCUGAAGCAUGAAAGUCAUCAACAGCAACGUUAAAUUGCACUGUGCUCAAAAGGCAGAGACUUCGUUAAGUCUAGGGGAAAGUGAAGGGGAAGGACGUGGAAGAAAUUAUUUGUUUAUGAGCAAGGAAUGGACACUGUUUUCAACUCUGUAUUGCUUGAAUCUGUGUACUCAUAUAAAAGAAAAUCUUAAGG